UACGUAGGCAGCGAGCGUUGUUCGGAAUUACUGGGCGUAAAGAGUGUGUAGGUGGUGCUCUAAGUUUGGUGUGAAAUCUCCCGGCUUAACUGGGAGGGUGCAUCGAAAACUGGAGUGCUUGAGUAUGGGAGAGGUAAGCGGAAUUCCUGGUGUAGCGGUGAAAUGCGUAGAUAUCAGGAGGAACACCUGUGGUGUAGGCAGCUUACUGGACCAUCACUGACACUGAGACACGAAAGCGUGGGUAGCAAACAGG
rnacentral:rRNA from 1 species